rnacentral:misc_RNA from 1 species
GAUGAAGAACGUAGCGAAAUGCGAUAAGUAAUGUGAAUUGCAGAAUUCAGUGAAUCAUCGAAUCUUAGAACGCACCUUGCGCUCCUUGGUAUUCCGAGGAGCAUGCCUGUUUGAGUGUCAUUAAUAUAUCAACCUUCUCUUUUUUGAGUUGUUUGGAUGUGGGGGUUUGCUGGCCUCUUAAAUGAUUCAGCUCCCCUGAAAUGCAUUAGCAGAACAACCUGUUCAUUAGCGUGAUAAUUAUCUAUGCUAUUGAAUGUGAGGGCAGUUCAGCUUUCUAACCGUCCUUGGACAAUUCAUCAUUAAUGUGACCUCAAAUCAGGUAGGACUACCCGCUGAACUUAAGCAUAUCAAUAAGCGGAGGA